CAUCCUAAAUGUCUCUGCAAAUGGACAAGUGACACUGUUGGAAACUGACUUUUCAUCACCUGACAGUCAAGGAGUGGAGUCAGGUGUGCGCAAGUCAGGCCACCACCUGCCAGUCAUCAUCAUCACUCUGCUCCACUUCAAAUACCUUGUUCCUGCUUCAACAAACAGCCAGAUUUCACCCCACCUGGACGUGACUUCUAGCUCUGCUCCUGUUCACCUUGGAUCCUGAACACUCAUCCCUGGAUAGCUGGACUCCCUCUGCCUGAUAAUACUAUCUGCUUUCCUGCCUGGCUCCGCUCACUCCUCUGGCUUACGGCUCUAACCCAGAACUCCCCUGAACCACAGACUCUGCCCCUCAUUCAAUAAAGUAUUGUGUUAAU